rnacentral:rRNA from 1 species
GACGAACCGAGCGAACGUUGUUCGGAAUCACUGGGCUUAAAGGGCGCGUAGGCGGGUGCUCAAGUCCGGGGUGAAAUCCUCCAGCUCAACUGGAGAACUGCCUCGGAUACUGGGUGCCUCGAGGGUGGUAGGGGUAUGCGGAACUAUCGGUGGAGCGGUGAAAUGCGUUGAUAUCGAUAGGAACUCCGGUGGCGAAGGCGGCAUACUGGACCACAUCUGACGCUGAGGCGCGAAAGCCAGGGGGAGCAAACGGG